rnacentral:lncRNA from 1 species
AGAGAUUGCAUUACAUGCUUCCAGGUACGGAUAUAGCAUAAGGGCGCAAGGCUGUUUUCUUUAAAUUCUUUUUCACGGUUCAUGUUAGGGGGCAGACUGCAAAACAUGGCCCUCAAGGAUUUGCAAACUUUAUGCAUUUGCUUUCUAUUCUAAUCCCAUUUCACAAAGAGGAGGGAGAGGAAGCUAUUACCAAUCAUAUUAUUUUCCGAGAUUUGUGGGUUGUGGGCUGUAUCCUCUUAGACUCCCUAUUUUUAUGAUAUACUAUUUUAAUAGUAUAUCUUCUUCUUUUUUUUGACUUUUUGGUAAUAAGCUUAACCCGCCAUAAAAAAUGAGUCAAAAAAAAAAUUAUAUAAAUUAAAGACAUCUGCUCUUCAAUCUUGUUUUGGUCGAGCACAAUUCAAUUCUUCCACCAAAUUCAUAAAUCCACACCAUUCUCUCAUCAUUAUCACACCUUCUUUUGAGACUUGAUGUUUGAAUUAAGCAUAUGUUUGUUCGUGUCUCCCUCUUUUACAUGCGAGUUCAAAUGUCCUACACUUAAAUUAUCC